UGGGGAAUUUUGGACAAUGGGCGCAAGCCUGAUCCAGCCAUUCCGCGUGCAGGACGAAGGCCUUCGGGUUGUAAACUGCUUUUGUACGGAACGAAAAGGCUCUGGCUAAUACCUGGGGCUCAUGACGGUACCGUAAGAAUAAGCACCGGCUAACUACGUGCCAGCAGCCGCGGUAAUACGUAGGGUGCAAGCGUUAAUCGGAAUUACUGGGCGUAAAGCGUGCGCAGGCGGUUAUGUAAGACAGAGGUGAAAUCCCCGGGCUCAACCUGGGAACUGCCUUUGUGACUGCAUAGCUGGAGUACGGCAGAGGGGGAUGGAAUUCCGCGUGUAGCAGUGAAAUGCGUAGAUAUGCGGAGGAACACCGAUGGCGAAGGCAAUCCCCUGGGCCUGUACUGACGCUCAUGCACGAAAGCGUGGGGAGCAAACAG
rnacentral:rRNA from 1 species